UGGUUGACCUCGGAUCAGGUAGGGAUACCCGCUGAACUUAAGCAUAUCAAUAAGCGGAGGAAAGAAACCAACAGGGAUUGCCUCAGUAACGGCGAGUGAAGCGGCAAAAGCUCAAAUUUGAAAUCUGGCUCUUUCAGGGUCCGAGUUGUAAUUUGUAGAAGAUGCUUCGGGUGUGGUCCCGGUCUAAGUUCCUUGGAACAGGACGUCAUAGAGGGUGAGAAUCCCGUAUGUGACUGGGUACCUACGCUCAUGUGAAGCUCUUUCGACGAGUCGAGUUGUUUGGGAAUGCAGCUCAAAAUGGGUGGUAAAUUUCAUCUAAAGCUAAAUAUUGGCCAGAGACCGAUAGCGCACAAGUAGAGUGAUCGAAAGAUGAAAAGCACUUUGGAAAGAGAGUUAAACAGUACGUGAAAUUGUUGAAAGGGAAGCGCUUGCAAUCAGACUUGCGCCUAGUUGAUCACCCGGGCUUCUGCCCGGUGCACUCGAUUAGGCUCAGGCCAGCAUCGGUUUGGGUGGUUGGAUAAAGGCUUGGGGAACGUAGCCUCCUUCGGGGGGUGCUAUAGCCCCAGGUGCAAUGCAGCCUACCUGGACCGAGGACCGCGCUUCGGCUAGGAUGCUGGCGUAAUGGUUGUAAGCGACCCGUCUUGAAACACGGACCAAGGAGUCUAACAUUUAUGCGAGUGUUUGGGUGUUAAACCCAUACGCGUAAUGAAAGUGAACGGAGGUAAGAACCCUUAAGGGUGCAUUAUCGACCGAUCCUGAUGUCUUCGGAUGGAUUUGAGUAAGAGCAUAACUGUUGGGACCCGAAAGAUGGUGAUCUAUACGUGAAUAGGGUGAAGCCAGAGGAAACUCUGGUGGGGGCUCGCAGCGGUACUGACGUGCAAAUCGAUCGUCAAAUUUGCGUAUAGGGGCGAAAGACUAAUCGAACCAUCUAGUAGCUGGUUCCUGCCGAAGUUUCCCUCAGGAUAGCAGUGUUGUUUUCAGUUUUAUGAGGUAAAGCGAAUGAUUAAAGG
rnacentral:rRNA from 1 species